rnacentral:rRNA from 1 species
CUACGGGUGGCUCCAGCUAGGAAACUUCUACAAUGUACGAAAGUAUGAUAGAGCAAGCCAGAGUGCUUUCAUAUAAUUUGAAAGCUUUUGUGAGAUGUAAAAAGUCUCACGAAUAAGGACUGGGUAAGACUGGUGCCAGCCGCCGCGGUAAUACCAGCGGUCCAAGUCGCAGCCACUUUUAUUGGGUCUAAAACAUCCGUAGCUUGCUUCGUCAGUCUUGUGUGAAAUCUGGCAUCUUAAGUGUCGGGCGCGCGCGAGAUACUGCGGAGCUUGAGACCGGGAGGACGUGAAGAGUACGGUUAGGGUAGCGGUAAAAUGCGUUGAUCCUUACUGGACUAACGAUAGCGAAGGCACUUCACGAGAACGGAUCUGACAGUGAGGGAUGAAGGCUAGGGGCGCAAAACGGAUUAGAUACCCGAGUAGUC